UAUUAAAAAUUCCAUCCAUUUAUACUAUUAAAAACUAGCAUGGUUGACAAAAUAAUCAAAUAAUGACACGUGUUCCUCAUGUUGACAUACAAGGAUCAGCUUUUAACAGCAAAAAAUGAUGAAUUUUUUAAUA
rnacentral:pre_miRNA from 1 species